GGUUCGCAGUUGCUGGAAAUCAUCUGAAGACGUUCAUAUUCGUUGCUGACACCAGUUUCGGGGAUUUCCUGUGGCCACUACCGGCAGGCCUUCCCCAUCGCCUGUCCUGAACGGAACUGCGCCUGGGAGGGUGUGAGAGUGAUGGUCGUCCUUCCUGUGCGUGGCGGGCGUCCAGGGAGGAGACGGAACUGUGGUGGAGGAGGCGUUCAGGAUACCUCUCUUUCUUUCUCUCUAUGCUGGGUUUUGUGUCGCUAGGUCAGGUGCGGAUGGUGGUCAGUGAGGGUGUUGUGUUGUGGUGUGGUGUUGAUAGGUGGCGCUUACUGGUGGUGUGGUGUGGUGUGUUGUGUUGUGUUGUGUUGUGAAGUGUUACAUAAAUGUUUAUAGACUACAUAUACAAGAUCUUCCUUUAACACACACACACACAUCCUUGUCAACCACCACCACCACCACCUCAACAUUGCCUUCCCUUCCCUUCCCAUCCCUGCCCCUUUACCCCGGUCCCUCCAUCACCCCCACAGCCCCAUCAUCGCCAUCACAGCCUCCCCCGCGCUGCCCUGGUCCAAUUUGCAGAGGGAGUCGUAGAGAGGAUCAACAAAUCAGUCCGAACCUUGGUGUCUGCUGGCUAAGACAGGAGGUGGAUAGGCAGGGAGGGCGCGAGAAAGUGGGGACCGUAUGCUCUUGAAACGCUUUGCUCUCUCACCACGACUGUUUUGGAAGGCCACAUAGAUGAUUAGUCGGGUUGUCAGUAUUGCUUUUCCUGUUCAUGAGGUUGAAAUACUGUUAAUCUGUCACUGGGAAGGCAAAAACAUCCUUAAAAAUUAGUGUAACUUAUUAUAAAAACUUUGUUCUCUCUCUCCGACAUUUCAGAGGCCACAAAGAUGAUUAGUCUGUUUCUCAAGACUGUUUUUCGUGUUUAUUAUAGAAAUGUUGUCAGUAUGCAACUUGAACCAUAAAAUAAUAAUAAUGAUAAUAAAUAAAAACACAUGUCGCUUCAAGGAAAUAUUUUUUCAACGUAGUGGUGUUCCGCAGAAGUGUUUCAGAAUACGGUUCAUAUUCGGAAUGCUUCCACGCUGCACACUAACUACGUUCAAGUCUCUAGUUGAAGUUACACUGGUUUUUAAGAAUGAUUCUAUUGUUCUGGUGAUAGAUUACUAAGAUAUCCGUACUAUUAACAGGAGAAACACUCUUGAGACUAUUUGUAAAAGGGUGUAGUUCAAGUGACACGGAUUUAAAGGAUGUUUUUUACGGUUCUAGUGAAAGAUUAAGAAGACCUCUUCAUAAUCAACAUGCGAAACACUUUUGAGAAACCAGCUAAUCAUCCCAGUGGCCUUAAAAAACAUUCGUAGUAAAAGAACAAAGGUUUUCAGAAUACGUGCUAGAGAGGGAGGAAGUAAAAGAACCUACUAACGUUGGGUUGGCUAGAGCUGUAGGAAGGAGACAGGGAGAGAGAGAGAGAGAGAGAGAGAGAGAGAGAGAGAGAGAGAGAGAGAGAGAGAGAGAGAGAGAGAGAGAGAGAGAGAGAGAGAGAGAGAGAGAGAACUUAGGCUAAGAGGUAAGAAGGGGAAGGAACUGACGGUGAAGGAGGUGAAGGAGAGGAGUCGUGUUAACAGGGAUGUCUGGGGGAAAGGGAAGGAGGAAGGAAAUGAGAAAGGCACAGAUGAAAGGAGUUUGUUGGGAGGCUGUGAGAUGCAAGAAGGGGAGGGGAGAGAAAAGUAAAAGAGAAGAGGAGGAGGAGGGAAAAGUGUGUGGAAGGAAGGGAAAAAGUGUGAAAGGGUGUGGAGGUUGAGAGAGAGAGAGAGAGAGAGAGAGAGAGAGAGAGAGAGAGAGAGAGAGAGAGAGAGAGAGAGAGAGAGAGAGAG